CCUACGGGUGGCAGCAGUGAGGAAUAUUGGUCAAUGGACGAGAGUCUGAACCAGCCAAGUAGCGUGAAGGAUGACUGCCCUAUGGGUUGUAAACUUCUUUUAUAUGGGAAUAAAACAGGGUAUGCAUACCCUCUUGUAUGUACCAUAUGAAUAAGGAUCGGCUAACUCCGUGCCAGCAGCCGCGGUAAUACGGAGGAUCCGAGCGUUAUCCGGAUUUAUUGGGUUUAAAGGGUGCGUAGGUGGAUUGUUAAGUCAGUUGUGAAAGUUUGCGGCUCAACCGUAAAAUUGCAGUUGAAACUGGCAGUCGUGAGUACGGUAGAGGUAGGCGGAAUUCGUGGUGUAGCGGUGAAAUGCUUAGAUAUCACGAAGAACUCCGAUUGCGAAGGCAGCUCACUGGACUGCAACUGACACUGAUGCUCGAAAGUGUGGGUAUCGAACAGGAUUAGAUACCCCUGUAGUC
rnacentral:rRNA from 1 species